GAUGAACGCUGGCGGCGUGCCUAAUACAUGCAAGUCGAGCGAACAGACGAGGAGCUUGCUCCUCUGACGUUAGCGGCGGACGGGUGAGUAACACGUGGAUAACCUACCUAUAAGACUGGGAUAACUUCGGGACACCGGAGCUAAUACCGGAUAAUAUCUUGAACCGCAUGGUUCAAUAGUGAAAGACGGUGUUGCUGUCACUUAUAGAUGGAUCCGCGCCGCAUUAGCUAGUUGGUAAGGUAACGGCUUACCAAGGCAACGAUGCGUAGCCGACCUGUGAGGGUGAUCGGCCACCCGAGAACUGGGACGCGGACCAGACGCCUACGGGAGGCAGCAGUAGGGAAUCUUCCGCAGUGGGCGAAAGCCUGACGGAGCAACGCCGCGUGAGUGAUGAAGGUCUUCGGAUCGUAAAACUCUGUUAUUAGGGAAGAACAAAUGUGGAAGUAACUAUGCACGUCUUGACGGUACCUGGUCAGAAAGCAACGGCUAACUACGUG
rnacentral:rRNA from 1 species